UCCUGACUGACCGAUAGUGAACCAGUACCGUGAGGGAAAGGCGAAAAGAACCCCGGCGAGGGGAGUGAAAAAGAACCUGAAACCGUGUACGUACAAGCAGUGGGAGCACGCUUAGGCGUGUGACUGCGUACCUUUUGUAUAAUGGGUCAGCGACUUAUAUUCUGUAGCAAGGUUAACCGAAUAGGGGAGCCGAAGGGAAACCGAGUCUUAACUGGGCGUUAAGUUGCAGGGUAUAGACCCGAAACCCGGUGAUCUAGCCAUGGGCAGGUUGAAGGUUGGGUAACACUAACUGGAGGACCGAACCGACUAAUGUUGAAAAAUUAGCGGAUGACUUGUGGCUGGGGGUGAAAGGCCAAUCAAACCGGGAGAUAGCUGGUUCUCCCCGAAAGCUAUUUAGGUAGCGCCUCGUGAAUUCAUCUCCGGGGGUAGAGCACUGUUUCGG
rnacentral:rRNA from 1 species